rnacentral:rRNA from 1 species
GCCUACAGCCAUACCUGUCUGAAAGUGCCUGAUCUCGUCAGAUCUCAGAAGUCAUGCAGACUUGGACCUGUUUAGUACUUGUAUGGGAGACCAACUAGGAACCUCAGGUGCCGUAAGCU